GGCGCGGUAAUACUCCUACGGGAGGCAGCAGUGGGGAAUAUUGGACAAUGGGCGAAAGCCUGAUCCAGCAAUGCCGCGUGAGUGAUGAAGGCCUUAGGGUUGUAAAGCUCUUUUACCCGGGAUGAUAAUGACAGUACCGGGAGAAUAAGCCCCGGCUAACUCCGUGCCAGCAGC
rnacentral:rRNA from 1 species